ACGUAGUUAAGGUGUCAAAGAAUCUCUUAAGGUGAGUUUGAUCAUGUAUUACAACAGAUUUCUGUCACGAAACGGUCUGAGCCGCCUUGACUCUGCAUUAUGUCAGUUGUUCAAAUGUUGUAUUUUCCUUUUUUAAAUUAUUAUUAUUCGAUUUACAUUUCACACACUCAUUUUCUGCAUAGUCGGCUCACAUUAUUAAAUAAAUGUCCCAUAACAUCUUUAAGCAAAUAUAUUUUGACUUUAAUUAGAGCUUUUUGUAUUUCUUUCUGAUAUUUUUCUCCACGCGGCUGUCAGGGGUUUGAUCAUUUUGCUUAAAGUCCACACAGUCUCAUAAAACCAUCUGCAUGUUUGUUGUUUGAAGUUAUUGGAGGUUCGUACAGUCACAAGAAGACAUUCUCAUCUUCCAUCGUCUCUACUCCCUCUCAUUACUUUUCCUUGUGGGGCUCAUGUCCUUACACCCUCCUAUUCCUCUUUUAUUUUUUAUGUUCUUACUGUUAAUACCCUAUGACUGCAAGGAUUAUUUCCAAACCUCCUCAACUUUGUGAUUCACACUCUGAGGAAAAUAUGGGUAAAUGUCUAGCAAGUCUCAUAGUGACAAUUUUUAAUCUCAAAGUGAAAAAAAGAGGUAAUGUAUUUUGACUUAAACCUCAUGAAGAUGUUCAACAUUGAUUACUUAUUGUGUUCGGGUAAUGCUGCUCUGUCAUUUAUUUGGAAUUUUUCUAAAUCAUUGUCAGAUGGUGUAAAACAGUGAUGCAUCCUCCACAGCUUUGUCAUGCUUUUUUUUCCCAAGGAAGCUCUUUGUAACUCUUCUGGGUAACUUUAAACCUCAACAGAUUCAAAUUAAAUCUUUGUCCAAAAUUCUUGAUAUUAUGCAUCAGCUGUAACAACUGGAGCUCAUGCAUGCUUUUGUUUUUGUUUUGUUUUUUUUCGUUGGAAAAAAAGGACUGUUGCCAGUACGCUGGGACUAAUGAAAUUAAUACAUGGUCUCCAAAAUUUAGGCGAAUGUGUUGGAUUGGAUUACAAAAAGAAAAAUAUCUAAUAAAUAAAAAUAACUCCAUAAAGGAGCCAAGAAGCACAAACCAUUGAGAAUCCAACCACCUAUCAAAUAUUGACUUUGUAUUUUGAGAGAAACUUCCAUAACAGCCAGAAAUGUUUUUUGAGUUUCAGCAUCUGAGACCCACCACAGCUCAAGGCAUUUUGGCAGUGCUGCUCUGUUCAGCUGUGGGGUUCGGAUCAGCAUCCUGAUCCGAACUCCCCAUGCUGAAACUUUCACAAGCUUCCUGACCGGGGGGACUUUCCUAUCUGUUGUUUAAAUGCCCAAGUUUAAAAUCUCUCCCUGCUUGCUGUUCCCCUGGCAGCCAGAGGAGGUUUGAAGUUUUUGUUUGAGUAGACUAAAUCUGCAAAGUGAGCGUGUGUUUACUUGGCAAUCCUCUCUAUUAAUCAAGCCAAGCCCCAGUGUAUUACACCAAGCCAGUGUUGAUCAGAGUCUAUUAGCUGCCCUUGCCUCAUUUCCCAAAGACAAACACAAGCUUAGCCACGGCUUUGAAGACGCAAACAAUUCAAAACUCCACAUUGUGUUGUAUAACAGCGAGGGAGCCAUGAACAGGGAUUGUAACGAGUUGUUUGUCUUGUCCCAGAAUUCCAAUCAGUAGCAGAAUUAAAGGUGCAUGUUGGCUGGAACAGCUUGUUUCCCAAAGCUGUCUAUUUACACUAUAAUGGGAACUUUUUUUUUUUUUUAAGAACUUGUCAGUCUUUUUCUCCUUUAAAAUUCAGUUUAAUGAACAGAAAUAUACUGACUGGCAAUAAUGAUCCCUUUUUGUUUCUGUUAUUUACCUGUACUAAAUCAAUGUCAUGUAUUAUUGAGCAUGUAUCAGCAGCAGGUGGUUGUAAUGACCUAAGAUGUGCUGCAAUCCAGGACAAGCGAGAAAUUUAGUUUUGCUCUGCCAUCUGUAUAAUAAUUAGGAAUAAAUAAAGGGCUAAGUGUGUUAUACCAUCUCCUCUUAAGUAUCUUCAUUAUUUUGCCUUUCCUUAAUAGAAGUAAUGUUCAAAUUCAAGAAGACAUUAUCAGGAAAUGGAAAACAAAAAGAAAAAGUAACAGAGCAAGCGAUAAGUGAGGAGUAAACAUUGGUAUGACUUUUUACUGGCUGGAAAGAUCUUAGAGAAGAGUCAGAAUGCAAGAUACAUGUUAAAUUAUGUAGUACUGAAAGCAUAGGGGCUUUGUUGUGGAGAGAGGCUCAACUCUGAUGCAUCAGAAAAAUUUGCUUCUCAUCCUGCUCCUCAAUGUGAUGCUGUUGAAUUGAAACCAAGCCAGCUGGUAAUAUGCUGCUUCUCUGAAAUUUAGCAGUCGAAUCGAUAGCAUGAUAUGGGGUCCUCUGUCACUUGAACAUGGAUCAAUAACGGAAUUGGCUGCAGACCUUUUGAAGAACAACAACUCUACAGCUUCAUUUUCUCUUGUCAAUUCACUGCAACUCUGAUUGAUUACUCAGGCACGAGUGGCUGGAUGGAUCCUCUAGUUACUUUACAUCCUUGUUGCAGUUAUCUGCUGCUGCCUACUGUACUCUCUGUGUAUGUCAGUUUGUUCUAAGUGUUUUCCUUGGAUGAACUGAUCAGGAAAUAGAUUUUCACAGUGGUGCCAGCUAAAUUUCUGUUGGCAAUUUAAAAUUGAAUCUCUUCGGCCUGUUUGUGGUGUGCAUGGUUUACCCUCUUUUUCUAGGACAAAAUGAGGCGUAGUUUUAGACACUUGAUUAACUAACAAUAGAGAAAGAAUGUCCCUGUGUCUGCACCUCUCAUUUCCACUCUUUGUACCCAUUGAACAACAUAUCUGCAAAUUCCAAAAAGUUGAGCCUUGCACUUAAGGGGACAAAAGUUCUGGACGCUUCAUCUCAUGAUGUGCAGAGAAAGAUUAAAAGAUAUUUCCCUCUAAAACCUCCAUCAUUUCGUCCUUCAGUUUGAUCAGACGGGCAGGGAGUGAUUAUUUGAUGGUAAGGAGUUCAUUGUGAAGCAGUCUGCACCCUGAAAGAGGGUGACAUUUCAGCUGUGUAAAUGGACCCGCUGAGUGAGCUAAAAUCAGUGUGGGGACAUUUACGCCUCAUUGGGACGGCUUGUCACUAAUCGAUCUGCUCAACAUAAAUUGGCCUUGUUGUUUUUGUGUGUUGUGGG